rnacentral:rRNA from 1 species
AACGAACGCUGGCGGCGCGCUUAACACAUGCAAGUCGAACGAGAAGGCGUAGCAAUACGCUUGUAGAGUGGCGAACGGGUGAGGAAUACAUGGGUAACCUACCCUCGAGAGGGGAAUAACCAGCCGAAAGGUUGGCUAAUGCCGCGUACGCUUCCCAGUCUGCGGAUUGGGAAGGAAAGCUCUGCCGUGGGCAGGGCGCUCAAGGAUGGGCUCAUGUCCUAUCAGCUUGUUGGUGAGGUAACGGCUCACCAAGGCUUCGACGGGUAGCUGGUCUGAGAGGACGAUCAGCCACACUGGCACUGCGACACGGGCCAGACUCCUACGGGAGGCAGCAGUGAGGAAUAUUGCGCAAUGGGCGAAAGCCUGACGCAGCGACGCCGCGUGGGGGAUGAAGGUCUUCGGAUUGUAAACCCCUUUCGGGAGGGAAGAUGGGACGAGCAAUCGUCCGGACGGUACCUCCAGAAGCAGCCACGGCUAACUUCGUGCCAGCAGCCGCCGUAACAC